rnacentral:rRNA from 1 species
UACGAAGGGGGCUAGCGUUGCUCGGAAUCACUGGGCGUAAAGGGUGCGUAGGCGGGUCUUUAAGUCAGGGGUGAAAUCCUGGAGCUCAACUCCAGAACUGCCUUUGAUACUGAAGAUCUUGAGUUCGGGAGAGGUGAGUGGAACUGCGAGUGUAGAGGUGAAAUUCGUAGAUAUUCGCAAGAACACCAGUGGCGAAGGCGGCUCACUGGCCCGAUACUGACGCGUGAGCGAAAGCGUGGGGAGCAAACAGGG